GAUGAGUUGCGAACGGGUGAGUAACGCGUAGGUAACCUGCCUUGUAGCGGGGGAUAACUAUUGGAAACGAUAGCUAAUACCGCAUAACAAUGGAUGACACAUGUCAUUUAUUUGAAAGGGGCAAUUGCUCCACUACAAGAUGGACCUGCGUUGUAUUAGCUAGUAGGUGAGGUAAUGGCUCACCUAGGCGACGAUACAUAGCCGACCUGAGAGGGUGAUCGGCCACACUGGGACUGAGACACGGCCCAGACUCCUACGGGAGGCAGCAGUAGGGAAUCUUCGGCAAUGGGGGCAACCCUGACCGAGCAACGCCGCGUGAGUGAAGAAGGUUUUCGGAUCGUAAAGCUCUGUUGUAAGUCAAGAACGGGUGUGAGAGUGGAAAGUUCACACUGUGACGGUAGCUUACCAGAAAGGGACGGCUAACUACGUGCCAGCAGCCGCGGUAAUACGUAGGUCCCGAGCGUUGUCCGGAUUUAUUGGGCGUAAAGCGAGCGCAGGCGGUUUGAUAAGUCUGAAGUUAAAGGCUGUGGCUCAACCAUAGUUCGCUUUGGAAACUGUCAAACUUGAGUGCAGAAGGGGAGAGUGGAAUUCCAUGUGUAGCGGUGAAAUGCGUAGAUAUAUGGAGGAACACCGGUGGCGAAAGCGGCUCUCUGGUCUGUAACUGACGCUGAGGCUCGAAAGCGUGGGGAGCGAACAGGAUUAGAUACCCUGGUAGUCCACGCCGUAAACGAUGAGUGCUAGGUGUUGGAUCCUUUCCGGGAUUCAGUGCCGCAGCUAACGCAUUAAGCACUCCGCCUGGGGAGUACGACCGCAAGGUUGAAACUCAAAGGAAUUGACGGGGGCCCGCACAAGCGGUGGAGCAUGUGGUUUAAUUCGAAGCAACGCGAAGAACCUUACCAGGUCUUGACAUCCCGAUGCUAUUUCUAGAGAUAGAAAGUUACUUCGGUACAUCGGUGACAGGUGGUGCAUGGUUGUCGUCAGCUCGUGUCGUGAGAUGUUGGGUUAAGUCCCGCAACGAGCGCAACCCCUAUUGUUAGUUGCCAUCAUUCAGUUGGGCACUCUAGCGAGACUGCCGGUAAUAAACCGGAGGAAGGUGGGGAUGACGUCAAAUCAUCAUGCCCCUUAUGACCUGGGCUACACACGUGCUACAAUGGUUGGUACAACGAGUUGCGAGUCGGUGACGGCGAGCUAAUCUCUUAAAGCCAAUCUCAGUUCGGAUUGUAGGCUGCAACUCGCCUACAUGAAGUCGGAAUCGCUAGUAAUCGCGGAUCAGCACGCCGCGGUGAAUACGUUCCCGGGCCUUGUACACACCGCCCGUCACACCACGAGAGUUUGUAA
rnacentral:rRNA from 1 species